rnacentral:piRNA from 1 species
UUUUGUUUAUGUGGGUUAAAGCU